CUCUCUCAAACCCUUGGGUUUGGUAUUGAGUGAUACUCUUAGUCGGACUAGGCGUUUGCUUGAAAAGUAUUGGCAAGAGUGUACUAGAUAGUACUACCUGUUAUUCAAUGUAUUAGGUUUAUCCAACUCGUUGAACGACUGGGCGUAAGUUUCUGGUAAUUGGCUCGGCCUUACAACAACAAACAA
rnacentral:misc_RNA from 1 species